CCUACGGGAGGCAGCAGUGAGGAAUAUUGGUCAAUGGCCGUAAGGCUGAACCAGCCAAGUCGCGUGAAGGAAGAAGGGUCUAUGGUUUGUAAACUUCUUUUAUAGGGGAAUAAAGGUAUCCUCGCGUGGAUAUUUGCAUGUACCCUAUGAAUAAGCAUCGGCUAACUCAGUGCCAGCAGCCGCGGUAAUACGGAGGAUGCGAGCGUUAUCCGGAUUUAUUGGGUUUAAAGGGAGCGUAGGUGGGUUCUUAAGUCAGCAGUGAAAGUUUGUGGCUCAACCAUGAAAUUGCCGUUGAAACUGGUAGACUUGAGUGUGUGAGAGGUAGGCGGAAUGCGUGGUGUAGCGGUGAAAUGCAUAGAUAUCACGCAGAACUCCGAUUGCGAAGGCAGCUUACUGGGCCAUAACUGACGCUGAAGCACGAAAGCGUGGGGAGCAAACAGGAUUAGAUACCCCAGUAGUC
rnacentral:rRNA from 1 species